rnacentral:misc_RNA from 1 species
GAUGAAGAACGUAGCGAAAUGCGAUAAGUAGUGUGAAUUGCAGAAUUCCGUGAAUCAUCGAAUCUUUGAACGCACAUUGCGCCUUCUGGUAUUCCGGAAGGCAUGCCUGUUCGAGAGUCAUUAACAACCGUUUCGAUCCCUUUCUUUCAGAAAUUACAAAGAGCAAAAGGGUUUGGUUAUGGUGGAGGAGGGGAAGGGAGCGUUUAGCCUGUAAAAAAAGAGGCUGUGUUCCGCCUCCCCCCCAAAAUUGUACAGGCGGUCGUGUGCGCCCACGCAUCGAGGUGUUGUAAAAGCUGCCACGGCACUUUUCACCUGUGCAGUGCGAGAUUGGCCAGCCGGUUUAAAAACCCCUCCAAACAAUCAAAGGUUGACCUCGGAUCAGGUAGGGAUACCCGCUGAACUUAAGCAUAUCAAUAAGCGGAGGA